rnacentral:rRNA from 1 species
AACGAACGCUGGCGGCAGGCCUAACACAUGCAAGUCGAACGAGUAAGAGCCGUAGCAAUACGGAGUUCUGCUAGUGGCGCACGGGUGAGUAACGCGUGGGAACGUGCCUUGGAGUUCGGGAUAACAGUUGGAAACGACUGCUAAUACCGAAUAUUCCCUCAGGGGGAAAGAUUUAUCGCUCCAAGAUCGGCCCGCGUAAGAUUAGGUAGUUGGUGGGGUAAUGGCCUACCAAGCCUACGAUCUUUAGCUGGUCUGAGAGGACGACCAGCCACACUGGAACUGAGACACGGUCCAGACUCCUACGGGAGGCAGCAGUGGGAAUAUUGGACAAUGGGCGAAAGCCUGAUCCAGCCAUGCCGCGUGAAUGAUGAAGGCC